rnacentral:rRNA from 1 species
GAGUUUGAUCAUGGCUCAGAACGAACGCUGGCGGCAUGCCUAACACAUGCAAGUCGAACGCGUGGCUUACGGCCACGAGUGGCGCACGGGUGAGUAGCGCGUGGGAACCUGCCUUCUGGUACGGGAUAACCGCGGGAAACUGCGGCUAAUACCGUAUGUCCCCUGAGGGGGAAAGAUUUAUCGCCGGAAGAGGGGCCCGCGUACCGAUUAGCUAGUUGGUGAGGUAAUGGCUCACCAAGGCUGCGAUCGGUAGCUGGUCUGAGAGGAUGAUCAGCCACACUGGGACUGAGACACGGCCCAGACUCCUACGGGAGGCAGCA